rnacentral:rRNA from 1 species
AUGGUCGGGGAAAAGACUCGCCAAUUAGAGUUGAAGAAGAUGAAGAAGAUGAGGAGGGGUUCACCAUCGUUCACGCCUCUGCCCGCCUGGAUCCACAGUGGCCGGUCGCCGUCCAUGGCGACCGAAGAUACAGUGCGGACGUUAGAUCGAAAUAGGGAUGGAGGUUGCCGGCUGCCGACAACCUCCAUCCCAAGUCGGUGCACUGUUGGAGAAGAUGAAGAAUCAGAGGAUGAAACUUAUGAAGAUGACGAGGACGAAAGCGGCGAUGAAGUGGAGUAUUUUCCCUCCCCGGAUGCCAAUCAGGAGGGUCGGACCAAGAGGAACCAGGAUCCGACUGGAGUCUCACCAACUACUCGGGCGACCAAGCGUGACCGAGUGGAAGCAGAGCAACAAGCAUCUCCUCCUCCAACCAAACGAAAAGGAUCAUUUAAAGUCAUAAGUCGAAAACCUCGAAAGGCUGCCGCUCUACCAAGGACAUGGAAACCAAUGCCUAAUGUUGCAAAGGUUGUCCCUUCUGCAAGCUUCACCAGCCAAGCAACUGAAAAUACUAAAAAUAGAUCCAAGGGGACGCUUGAUGCUGGUGUUGUGUCUUCAAAAGUCGCUAAAGAAGUAAACCCUACUAUAGAGCUUAACUCGGGCCACGAGCAAGCUCACAAUUCAGAGGAAAUCCCUCCAAGCCCAAGUCAAAGCUCAAUCCCCAUGGAUACUGCUCCUGAUAAAUCUCCAAGUCCACCAGAGAUUCAGUCGGGUGGGUCGAUUCAGACACCGACUGCACCGGAGCCGAUAAGCCCGACUACAAUGGCAGUGAAAUCUCCUCGUUGGAAUGAAACUCCAUCCAUUUCAUCUACAUCUUUCUUGCUGGCACGGUCCCUAGAGGACGAAGUGGGCGCAGGCAAGGAAGCCAUGCUACAUGCCGAGCAGAUGGAGACUCGGUUGAAGGAGUUGCUCAUAUCAAACGAAACCCUGAAGACCAACAUCCGAAAAACUUGUGAAAGUGGAACCAAAUACUUAGGUUUAAAGGAGCUGGAGAAGGUACGCCAAGAGCUUGAUGAAGAACAAGCCAAGACCAUUUGGCUUGAAAAGGAGAAAACUGCUAUGGAAGAAUCCAUGAAGAAAAUCCUAGAAGAGAAAGACACCGCUCUUGCCAAAGCCAAAGAGGAAGCUGAUGCUAUGACUAAGAAAGCCAACGAUAGGUUGGAGGAGCUCCAAGAGGCCAGAGAGAUGAAAGAUCACUACCUGAAGGCGGCGGAGGACAUGAAGAAGCAAAUCGAAGCUCUAAAAGCAUCUGAGUCUGAAUGGCAUACCAAAUAUGUGGAAAGGUCUGAUCUUGCAGAAAUGACCAAAAUGAAGUAUGAAAAGGAUCUUGGCGAGCUCAAGCAAGGAAUGUCCGACACCGAAACCUUCUUGGUGGGCCAGCUAGAUGAGGUUAAGCAGAGGCUUGAGGUGUUUUGUUCCGAUCCUCUCAUGGAGGCUCGUAAAGUGCAGAAGGAGCUCGAAGCAUAUGGUAUCGACAUCAAAGAAACUCCUUGGGCAUCCACUCGGGUUGCUGAGGCUGUAAUCCGACUAGAAGAACGAGCAGAAGCAGCAAAAAGCGUCAUAGCCCAAGUGAGAAAAUCCAUGAAGGGCAUCAAUGCGACUCUCCAUCCUGGAGAAGAGGUCGAUGAAGCUCUACCCAUUUGUUUACAACAACUCGAGCAGGUGCCUGGCCGAGUAUCGAGGUGUAAGAAAUCUGCUGCUCGCUGUGGAGCUAAUGUAGCUCUAGCUCUCACCCGGGUUCACUUCCCCGAGAUAAAUGAAGCGAAGUUACAGAACAUUGGCGUGGGGAAUCCGGAGGGCGAGGACUUUGAAGACCACAUGCAAACUUUCAUCAGAACCGCCAAUCAGAUUGCUUCCCUCAUUGGCCUGGACCUGUCUGUUGAGCCGGCUAGAGUGCCAGACACCUCGGAGGAGGAGCUCGUACAAGAAGAAGAGAAAUACAAGUGA